rnacentral:lncRNA from 1 species
AGUGCCUCCAAAACCAUUACAUCUGCAGAAUUCAUCUUCAUCCUUUAGACCCCAAGUCCCCAGGCAUAAAGCUUUACCUAGCGCAAAGCCAAGGAUGGAGGAGUCUAAUCCAGCCCCUACUUCAUGUGCCUCAAAAGGGAAACAUAGUAAGGUGUCGGAUCUCAUCAGUCACUUUGAAGGAGGCAGGAGACUAAUGAGCAGAAACUUCACAAAAUAGCCACAGAACUUUUGCUUACAGAAAGAGCUUAUGUCAGCCGGCUCAACCUCCUAGAUCAGGUAUUUUAUUGCAAACUAUUAGAAGAAGCAAACCGAGGCUCAUUUCCUGCAGAGAUGGUGAAUAAAAUCUUUUCUAACAUUUCAUCAAUAAAUGCCUUCCAUAGUAAAUUCCUAUUACCUGAGCUGGAGAAGCGAAUGCAAGAAUGGGAAACUACACCCAGAAUUGGAGAUAUCCUGCAAAAGUUGGCACCAUUCCUUAAGAUGUAUGGAGAAUACGUAAAGGGAUUUGAUA